CGAGGCAAGAUUAGGGAAGACCCGCCCUGUGCAACACCCUCUGGGUGGUACUGGCUAGGGUUGGUGACACCUCCUCACCCAGGAUAUGGGACCAAGGGAGGCGGGAUCCAAGCUCCUGGGUCCAAACCCAAGGAAGGAAAUGGAAGGGUGGCAUGGUGUCAGACAGAAGGGAAAGCAAAAAGGUGGAAGGCCAAGGCCAGCGGGGGUGGGGGUGGGGGUGAGUGGGUCAAUGGUCUAUGCCCUCGAUGCGCAGCAGAUGCGCGAGGCCGCGAGCCCCAGACUCUGCCUGGCAAGUGCAGACUGAUUGCACAGGAUCAAACACCAUGCAAGGGGGAUUACAAUUAAGAGACCGUUGUAUGUUUCAGAAGAGACUUUGGACUUGAAAUAAGUUUGAGACUGUUAUAGAUUAUGGGGACUUUUGCAGUAGGACAGAAGCAUUGUUUUGAAUUAUGAAAUGGCUAUAAGUCUUUGGGGGCCAAGGAGUGGAAUGUGGUGGUUUGAAAGAAAAAUGGCCCCCAAAGGAAGUGGCACUAUUAGGAGGUGUGGCCUUGUUGGAGGAAGUGUGUCACGUAGGGGCGGGCCUUUCUCAAGCUUCACUCAGUGUUGACAGUCAGUUGAUAUCCUGUUGCCUUGGAGUCAAGAUGCAGCACUCUCAGAUCCAGGACUACAUCUGCCUGCACACCACCAUGCUCCCCGCCAUGAUGAUAAUGGACUGAGCCUCUGAAACUGUAAUUGAGCCCCCCCCCCACACCAAUUAAAUGUUUCUUUAUAAGAGUUGCCAGGCUUGUGGUAUCUUUUUCACAGAAAAAAAAAACAAAAAAACAAACAAACAAAAAAAAAAACUAAUACACUGGAUAUCCUCUCCAUCUGGAGAAACUCAAGGGGAAAAAAGCUUUGUGGAAGGCAGUCAGUCUGUCUACCUCAUUCCACUGGCCACAGGGAUCAGUAUACCUGUGGUAGCCAUGACACAUUU
rnacentral:lncRNA from 1 species